AUAUUGGUCAAUGGACGCAAGUCUGAACCAGCCAUGCCGCGUGAAGGAUGAAGGUCCUCUGGAUUGUAAACUUCUUUUAUCUGGGACGAAAACGGGAUUUUUAUCUCAAUUGACGGUACCAGAGGAAUAAGCACCGGCUAACUCCGUGCCAGCAGCCGCGGUAAUACGGAGGGUGCGAGCGUUAUCCGGAUUUACUGGGUUUAAAGGGUGCGUAGGUGGGCUUAUAAGUCAGUGGUGAAAUCUCCGAGCUUAACUUGGAAACUGCCGUUGAUACUAUAGGUCUUGAAUUAUCUGGAGGCAAGCGGAAUAUGUCAUGUAGCGGUGAAAUGCUUAGAUAUGACAUAGAACACCAAUUGCGAAGGCAGCUUACUACAUAUAAAUUGACGCUGAGGCACGAAAGCGUGGGGAUCAAAC
rnacentral:rRNA from 1 species